GCCGGGUUAGUUCUAGUGGUAAAACAAGGCACUCGUAACGCUUAGUCGCAAGUUCGAUUCUUGCACCCGGCACCA
rnacentral:tRNA from 3 species